rnacentral:rRNA from 1 species
GACGAACGCUGGCGGCGUGCCUAAUACAUGCAAGUAGAACGCAGUUGCGAACGGGUGAGUAACGCGUAGGUAACUGCCUCAUAGCGGGGGCUAACUAUCAGAAACGAUAGCUUAUACCGCAUACUGUGCGAUGGACCUGCGUGUUAUUAGCUAGUUGUUGCGGUAAAGGCUCACCAAGGCGACGAUACAUAGCCGACCUGAGAGGGUGAACGGCCACACGGGGACUGAGACACGGCCCAGACGCCUACGGGAGGCAGCAGUAGGGAAUCUUCGGCAAGGGACGGGAGUCUGACCGAGCAACGCGGCGUGAGUGAAGAAGGUUUUCGGGUCGUAAAGCUCUGUUGUUAGAGAAGCGGUGACUAACCAGAAAGGGACGGCUAAUUACGUGCCAGCAGCCGCGGUAAUAC